UGAACAGGGUGGAAAGACAACAUAUAGCGAUCCAUCAACCCUUCUUGCAGAACAUCCCAGCUUUGUUUCAUGAAUGAAAGCCGUUUAUUUAAACAGACGCGUGUUAAGACGUUUGCCGCUUUGACAUUCAUUUGAAGACUAACUUGUUUCUGGGUUGAAUUAGUUUUGUAAAAGGCAAGGUUUUGUUUACGUCCCAACAGGUUGGUCGAGUCGGCUUCCUGUUUGAGAUGCAGGACUCUACCGCUCGCCGCGGAGUUCAUUCGAUGUGAAGGUUUAUUCUGAAUCCCUGUGGCAGGCUACUAGCUGGCCUCAAGCAAAUCAAUAUAUUCAAUCAAAAGAUCUCCCACGAGGAAGCUGGAUGAGCGAGAAAGUUGAGGAAGGGGGCACGGUUUCUGUCUGCUCUGGCCGUCGGCCCACAGUGAUGCAACAGUUGGAGCACGUACAAGUCAAUCAACAGCAAACAUGAGGGAGAGACCAGUGCUGUGGGUUUGGCGAGACUAAUUGUGAACUAAAAUAAACAUGUCACUUACACCUUUCACAUCGUCACGCAUUUAUUGAAAACCAGACAGGGUGUGUGUGGGUCUAUGAUGCCAAGUAGAUGACAAGCAUGUGUUUGUGUCUAAGGGUUGUAUUUGUUUAUAUAUAAUAUGGAUUUCUUUAUUAAAAUGUGGGUGUAAAUAAAAGCUGUGCCCCGAGGCAGGUUUUUAAUUGGAUUUGAGAUAGAGAAUGUUAGUAAUAAGAUAAAGAUGUGCUUCUAAAAAUAUCUAAAACUGUUUAAAACUGUAUUAAAUAUAUAUUACAGUAUAUAUACAGUACAGACCAAAAGUUUGGACACACUGUCUCAUUCAAAGAGUUUUCUUUAUUUUCAUGACUAUGAAAAUUGUAGAGUCACACUGAAGGCAUCAAGGGCUAUUUGACCAAGAAGGAGAGUGAUGGGGUGCUGCGCCAGAUGACCUGGCCUCCACAGUCACCGGACCUGAACCCAAUCCAGAUGGUUUAGGGGUGAGCUGGACCGCAGACAGAAGGCAAAAGGGCCAACAAGUGCUAAGCAUCUCUCGGGGAACUCCUUCAAGACUGUUGGAAGACCAUUUCAGGUGACUACCUCUUGAAGCUCAUCAAGAGAAUGCCAAGAGUGUGCAAAGCAGUAAUCAAAACAAAAGAUGGCUAGUUUGAAGAACCUAGAAUAUGACAUAUUUUCAGUUGUUUCACACUUUUUUUGGUAUGUAUAUAAUUCCAUAUAUAAUUCCACAUGUGUAAAUUCAUAGUUUUGAUGCCUCAUAGUCAUGAAAAUAAAGAAAACUCUUUGAAUGAGAAGGUGUGUCCAAACUUUUGGUCUGUAC
rnacentral:lncRNA from 1 species